GGGGAAUAUUGCACAAUGGAGGAAACUCUGAUGCAGCGACGCCGCGUGAACGAUGAAGGCUUUCGGGUCGUAAAGUUCUGUCCUAGGGGACGAUAAUGACGGUACCCUAGGAGGAAGCCCCGGCUAACUACGUGCCAGCAGCCGCGGUAAUACGUAGGGGGCAAGCGUUGUCCGGAUUUAUUGGGCGUAAAGGGUGCGUAGGCGGCCUUUUAAGUCAGAUGUGAAAGGUCACGGCUCAACCGUGGUAAGCAUUUGAAACUGAAAGGCUUGAGUUAAGGAGAGGAAAGUGGAAUUCCUAGUGUAGCGGUGAAAUGCGUAGAUAUUAGGAGGAAUACCAGUGGCGAAGGCGACUUUCUGGACUUAUACUGACGCUGAGGCACGAAAGCGUGGGGAGCGAAC
rnacentral:rRNA from 1 species